rnacentral:rRNA from 1 species
CAAUCAAGUGUCUUAAGGGCGUUCAGGGAAUGCCUUGGCAGAUGCAGGCGAUGAAGGACGCGCCAUGCUGCGAAAAGCCUCGGGGAGCUGCAAGGAAGCUUUGAUCCGGGGGUGUCCGAAUGGGGAAACCCACCUCUAAGCCUGAAUUGAUAAGCUCGCUUAUUUUCUCCGGAAAAGACGCGGGCUUAUUUUUCAGGCUUUAUAACGAGGUAUUUUAAAGCUGAAUACAUAGGCUUUAAAAAGCGAACCCGGGGAACUGAAACAUCUCAGUACCCGGAGGAAAGGAAAUCAACCGAGACUCCCAAAGUAGCGGCGAGCGAAAUGGGACCAGGCGAUCAGCGCGUACGAACGGGAAUCUUCUGGAAAGGAGAGCCGCAGCGGGUGACAGCCCCGUACCGGCAGGAAGCGCUGACAUAUCAAGUAGGGCGGAACACGUGAAAUUCUGUCCGAAGAUGGGGGGAACACCCUCCAAGCCUAAGUACUCGCAUCUGACCGAUAGUGAACUAGUACCGUGAGGGAAAGGUGAAAAGCACCCCAACGAGGGGAGUGAAACAGACCUGAAACUGAACGCUUACAAGCAGUCGGAGGGCCUUUAUGGCCUGACGGCGUACCUUUUGUAUAAUGGGUCAGCGACUUAGUCUCUCUAGCAAGCUUAAGCCGUUAGGCGUAGGCGCAGCGAAAGCGAGUCUGAAUAGGGCGUCUUAGUUAGAGGGAUUAGACCCGAAACCCGGUGAUCUAGAUAUGAGCAGGAUGAAGGUAAGGUAACACUUACUGGAGGUCCGAACCCGUACACGUUGAAAAGUGUUGGGAUGACUUGUGUCUAGGGGUGAAAGGCCAAUCAAACCGGGAGAUAGCUGGUUCUCCGCGAAAUCUAUUUAGGUAGAGCGUCGCACGAAUACCCUCGGGGGUAGAGCACUGGAUGGGCUAUGGGGGCUUACCGCCUUACUGAUCCUAACCAAACUCCGAAUACCGAGGAGUACUAUGCGGCAGACACACUGCGGGUGCUAAGGUCCGUAGUGGAAAGGGAAACAGCCCUGACCGACAGCUAAGGUCCCCAAGUCAUGGCUAAGUGGGAAAGGAUGUAGGGAUCCCAAAACAACCAGGAUGUUGGCUUAGAAGCAGCCAUCAUUUAAAGAAAGCGUAACAGCUCACUGGUCUAAAUAAGGGUCCCCGCGCCGAAAAUGUAACGGGGCUAAAGCCAUGCACCGAAGCUUCGGGCUUGCUUUUGCAAGCGGUAGCGGAGCGUUCUCUAUGCGGAUGAAGUCGGACCCGCGAGGGCCGAUGGACGUAUGAGAAGUGAGAAUGCUGACACGAGUAGCGAUAAAGAGGGUGAGAGACCCUCUCGCCGAAAGUCCAAGGGUUCCUGCGCAAUGCUAAUCAGCGCAGGGUUAGCCGGCCCCUAAGGCGAGGCCGAAAGGCGUAGUCGAUGGGAACACUGUCAAUAUUCAGUGGCCAGAGGAUGUGUGACGGAUUUCGUAACUUGUUCAACCUUAUUGGAUUGGUUGGGCAGGGAAGAAGUUCCUGGAAAUAGCCUCCUCAUAAGACCGUACCCGAAACCGACACAGGUGGACUGGUAGAGCAUACCAAGGCGCUUGAGAGAACUGCAUUGAAGGAACUCUGCAAAUUACUCCCGUAAGUUCGCGAGAAGGGAGCCCGCUUUCAAGGCAACUUGGGGGCGGGGGCACUAACCAGGUGGUAUCGACUGUUUAUCAAAAACACAGGGCUCUGCGAAGUCGCAAGACGACGUAUAGGGUCUGACGCCUGCCCGGUGCCGGAAGGUUAAAAGGAGGGGUGCAAGCUCCGAAUUGAAGCCCCGGUAAACGGCGGCCGUAACUAUAACGGUCCUAAGGUAGCGAAAUUCCUUGUCGGGUAAGUUCCGACCUGCACGAAUGGCGUAACGAAUUCCACACUGUCUCCAAUGCAGACUCAGCGAAACUGAAUUCUCCGUGAAGAUGCGGAGUACCCGCGGUCAGACGGAAAGACCCCGUGCACCUUUACUACAGCUUUACAGUGGCAUUAGCGUCAACUUGUGUAGCAUAGGCGGGAGGCUUUGAAACGGAGGCGCCAGCUUUCGUGGAGCCACAGGUGAAAUACCGCCCUUGUUGUCGCUGGUGUCUAACCGCGGUCCGUGAACCCGGAUCCGGGACCCUGUAUGGCGGGUAGUUUGACUGGGGCGGUCGCCUCCUAAAUGGUAACGGAGGCGCGCGAUAGGUGGGCUCAGACCGGUCGGAAAUCGGUCGUCGAGUGCAAUGGCAUAAGCCCGCUAGACUGCGAGACUGACAAGUCGAGCAGAGACGAAAGUCGGCCAUAGUGAUCCGGUGGUUCUUCGUGUGAGGGCCAUCGCUCAACGGAUAAAAGGUACGCCGGGGAUAACAGGCUGAUGAUGCCCAAGAGUCCAUAUCGACGGCAUUGUUUGGCACCUCGAUGUCGGCUCAUCGCAUCCUGGGGCUGGAGCAGGUCCCAAGGGUUUGGCUGUUCGCCAAUUAAAGCGGUACGUGAGCUGGGUUCAGAACGUCGUGAGACAGUUCGGUCCCUAUCUGCCGUGGGUGUAGGAAUAUUGAGAGGAGCUGUCCUUAGUACGAGAGGACCGGGAUGGACACACCUCUGGUGGACCAGUCGUCGCGCCAGCGGCGCAGCUGGGUAGCUAUGUGUUGAACGGAUAACCGCUGAAGGCAUCUAAGCGGGAAGCCGGCCUCAAAACAAAUAUUCCCUUGAGAGCCGUGGAAGACCACCACGUUGAUAGGUCGGGUGUGGAAGCGCAGCAAUGCGUGGAGCUUACCGAUACUAAUUGCUCGAUUGGCUUGAUUGUCCUCAUG